CAUUUUGUGAUUCUUAGAUAUAAAAGAGCUAAUUAUUAUGAUCAUUAAUAAUCCUUAAUUUUUAUCUUCUUUAAGGUAAAUUACCUUUACUUUAAUUACACCCCCACCCUGGUGGUAAUUAUACCUCUGAGAGUCAGCAGAUGCUUUCAUCUUACAUCAUGCCAUGCAGGGUGACUGGGCAUGGGUGCCAGGGAGGGCAUUUCUACCAUCUGCCUGGUCCUGCUCUCACCCAGAGUAGCAGAGGGCUUCUGGCUGUCUUUGUUGUUAAACUGGUUAUAGAUUUCAAGUGAUUUGUAUUCUUUGUUCUAUAACAGUGUCUUUAUCCUAACCAGCAGCUCCUCAGUUUCACGGAGACACACUAAAUGGUACAAAUGAAUUUUUAUCAUUUGUCUAAUACUGUGAAUUAAGGAAGCAGGUAUCUUUCACUGGGCCAUAGAGGCUUUAUGGUGUCUAUUAUAAAGAGGUUUUCAACUGCAAUAUGAAAGAAGGGCCAUAGCUCCUCAAGUGUAGAGGUGCUGUGUGACAUUCCAGAUUUUUCUUGGACUUAGAUGUGGUUCUAAUAGAAUUGUAAGUUACUCUUUGGGAUAAGAGGAUUUGUGUGAAGAACUGAAAAAAAAUGUUUUUGAAGAGAUUUUACUUCUGACAAAAAGGCAUACCAUAAAAAGGUUGGAACUGAGGCUUCACACAUAAUACAUACUUUGGGUGUGGGAAUAAAGGCCAUGGCCUCCCAAAUAUGGAAAAGAGCACAGGCAGGCCUGUCCCAAUCUAGCUUGAAAUGUUUUCUUCAGGUCCAGGCAUCCUAUAACUGCUUCAUGUCAUGAUAUAAUUAUUCAGUCCUAAUCUUGGGUGUUUCAGCACCAUGAAUCCUACUCUGUCCCUGAAGUAAGGAUGGCAGUGGAACAAGGCAGUAGGGUGGAUGGCAGUGUUGAGUCUCCCUCCUUCUGAUCCUUCCUCUCAGAGUGGUGCAUGCUUCUCUGGAGCUCUGCCUUCCCCAUCUCCCUUAGCAUCUUUCUUUCAGUUUCUUUCCUUUCCUUAUUUCCUCUUCUCUUCUCUUUUUAAAUUUCUCUUUUCCCAUCCCACUCUCAAAACCAUUUAAUCUCAGGUAGGGAAAUAGGACAGGGAUGAAGAGACCUCAAGGGGAACCAGUCAAGGUCUGUGUCCCUUUCCCUCAAGUGAGGAUCUGAUUGAGUUCAUAGUAGUAUUGGUAAAGAAGCAGAAAAUAGGCUGUGUCCUUCUUGGUUCUUCUCUCAGUGAGUCUGUCUUGGUCCAUAAGCAUUUACUGAGCCCUCUGUUCUACUGUAGGCAUUGUUCAUGGUAGCAGGAGGCACCCCACCCUACCUCCCAAUGAUUUGAAGUGGGAUAUGUUAUGGUGCAAAACUCUUUGAAAGUCUCUGAAUACAAGCCCUAGAUACUGAGUUCAUCAUUCUAGAUAGUUUAUCCUCAUCUGUUCCAUGAAUGUUCACACUGCCUUGCUACUUAGCUAAUUAAAAACUUUCAUUAAGAACCUGAUAAAUGGAAGGUGAAAGAGUAUAGAGCAUUGGAAAAGACCCAUUCAAGGCAUUCAGAAGGUAUGAUGUAGUUGUGACUUUCAGUUAUAAUCCGCAAGUGCUCUACAAGGAGAAAGAGACUACUCCUUGGUGAAGUGGUGUAGGAAGUCUUCAAGGAGGAGAUGGGAGUUGUUCUGGAUAGGGUGAGUGGAUUUCAGGCAGGCCAAGUGAAACGGAGGCAUUCCAGGCAGUGUGAGGAAAGAUGGGGAGUAGGAAUGGGCAAAGCAUAUUUUGAGAAAAAGAUAGUUGAACCAUCAGACUAUAGUGGAGACUUUAUCACUCUUUCGCAAAGGGCCAUGUUGCCUUGAUCCUUUCAAGGGUUGACCUUGCAGAAGAGAAAGUUGAUUUCAACCAUCC
rnacentral:lncRNA from 10 species